rnacentral:rRNA from 1 species
GAUCCUGGCUCAGGAUGAACGCUAGCGGCAGGCCUAACACAUGCAAGUCGAGGGGCAUCACGAGGUAGCAAUACUUUGGUGGCGACCGGCGCACGGGUGCGUAACGCGUAUGUAACAUACCUAUAACAGGGGCAUAACACUGAGAAAUUGGUACUAAUUCCCCAUAAUAUUCGGAGAGGCAUCUCUCCGGGUUGAAAAACUCCGGUGGUUAUAGAUGGACAUGCGUUGUAUUAGCUAGUUGGUG